CCGGAGAGGGAGCCUGAGAAACGGCUACCACAUCCAAGGAAGGCAGCAGGCGCGCAAAUUACCCAAUCCCGAUACGGGGAGGUAGUGACAAUAAAUAACAAUACAGGGCUCUUAUGGGUCUUGUAAUUGGAAUGAGUACAAUUUAAAUCCCUUAACGAGGAACAAUUGGAGGGCAAGUCUGGUGCCAGCAGCCGCGGUAAUUCCAGCUCCAAUAGCGUAUAUUAAAGUUGUUGCAGUUAAAAAGCUCGUAGUUGAAUUUCGGAGUUCUACCGUUGGUCGGGCAAUAGUCUGUACUGGCGUGUAGAAUUUCUACCUUCUGGGGAACCAUCAUGUUAUUUAUUUAGCGUGGUGGGAAACCAGGACCUUUACCUUGAAAAAAUUAGAGUGUUCAAAGCAGGCUUACGUCUGAAUACAUUAGCAUGGAAUAAUAAAAUAGGACGGUGGUCCUGUUUUGUUGGUUUCUGAAUCACCGUAAUGAUUAAUAGGGAUAGUUGGGGGCAUUAGUAUUCAAUUGUCAGAGGUGAAAUUCUUGGAUUUAUUGAAGACUAACUUCUGCGAAAGCAUUUGCCAAGGAUGUUUUCAUUAAUCAAGAACGAAAGUUAGGGGAUCGAAGACGAUCAGAUACCGUCGUAGUCUUAACCAUAAACUAUGCCGACUAGGGAUCGGACGAUGUUAAUUUUUCUUGACUCGUUCGGCGCCU
rnacentral:rRNA from 1 species